ensembl:lncRNA
UUGGGCAUAGAAAGACGUCCUUUAUCCACAAGCCAAGUAUUUGAAAAUACAACCCCCUCAAUUGGCAGACACCUUCAGGGCUGGAGAGGAACUACCACCAUAGUUUUGUGAAACUGAGCCACCCAUGGCUUUACUUUGAUCUCCUCUGUGUACAUCAUGGAGAAGGCAAUGGCCCCCCACUCCAGUACUCUUGCCUGGAAAAUCCCAUGGACAGAGGAGCCUAGAAGGUUGCAGUCCAUGGGGUCGCUAAGGGUCGGACACGACUGAGCGACUUCACUUUCACUUUUCACUUUCAUGCAUUGGAGAAGGAACCCACUCCAGUCUUCUUGCCUGGAGAAUCCCAGGGACGGGGGAGCCUGGUGGGCUGCCGUCUAUAGGGUCGCACAGAGUCGGACACGACUGAAGUGACUUAGCAGCAGCAGCAGUGUACAUCGUUCUUUCAGCUCCUCUGCCACAAACAUACAGUUACUAAGUAUUAUUGCUUGAUAAAAACUCUAAUUACUACAAGGACUGCCCGAGGUGAAAAAGGAGAAAUCGAAUUAUCAGAUGGACUGGUGUGAGUUGGACAGCCUGUUUAUCCUUUCGUCCCCAGCCCUAACUUGGGGGCGCACAGGCUGCGGGAGGGGACCCCCAACGCGGGAGACUGCACCUGUGCAGGGCAGUGGACACGUCCAGCAUUGGGGAAACCGAGAUGUCGAAUCCUCCCACCCUCCUAGAGAGGACCCGGAAGCGCGGCGCAGUCCCGGAAGGCGAGGUGCUGACACACUUCCGGCCUUUGUGACUCAUUGUGUCUGUGUCGAGGCGUCAGGAGGGCCCGGACCUGAGCGCGGCGCCCUUCGGCCGGCCUGAGCCCCAGAGUCAACUCCCUUUGCUCGCCCCCAGCCGCUCCCGGGGCUCACGAAUUAAGGUCUGCCCAGUUCUUUAGAAGAAGAGUCAACAAGAGUCCUUGUCCUCGAGGGGCUUAACGUUUGGUUGGGAAGUGGUGAUAGAAACUCAGGUAAUGGUAAGACAAGGAGAGCAGACAUGCCUGACAGAGAAAGUCUCGAGAGCAUUCAGAUGAGGAAGAUAUCUUUAAUUUGGAAUGUCAGGAAACAGUGUACAUCUUGAAGGGAGAAAUGGAAGCAAGACAGACUGGGUGGGGCUGAGGCACUGGUGUCGGCAGGAGAUGUGGAGCCUGGAUAUUGGGAUGGUGGAAGACGGCUCUGGGAGGCAUCACUGGAAAAGAUACUCUUUUUUCCACUUUUCCGAAUGAAAUGAAGGAGACCCAGCCUUACAGGAGUUAUUUAGCCUCCCAGCUGAGAGAAAGCCAGCCAAAAGAGUGGUGUCUUGGACUCCCCGCCUGCUGCCUCUUUCUGUUCAGGUCCUGGCUCUUCCGAUGCUCCAGCUCCGUGGGGCCGUUUCCUGGAAGCUGCCUUGCCAGCUGUCAGGUGCCCCUUGGGGCUGCCCCAGCACGUGGAAACCCCCUUAGAAGCGUUGGAACGUCUGCUCUGUACUGUAAUGAUUCGUGUAAAAACGGGAAUCGAAGGUCUCGUCUUUUUAUUCCCCUCAGUCUAGGCUGACACCACG